rnacentral:pre_miRNA from 1 species
AGAGUACUCCCUCCGUUCGGAAUUACUUGUCGCAGAAAUGGAUGUAUCUAGAUGUAUUUUAGUUCUAGAUACAUCCAUUUCCGAGACAAGUAAUUCCGAACGGAGGGAGUAGAUA